UGCGGGCCUCGUGGUGAAGGGGCCGCAGGAGGAAGGGGAGAGAAGACAGGAGAGCAGAGAGAGAGGAGAGGCAGGGGAGGCAGAGACACCGCACCCAUGUUUGGAGACUUGUUCAUCCACCGGGGUAUUUUGUGCAGCCAGGAAGUCCCUCCGUGAAGCCUUGGACCGUUCACUCACUUUGUUCAUUAAGACAAUACCGGACCAGUUGUCUUUUCAUCUCCCAAAUGCGCAAUGUAACUGUGAUCUUGGGCAGCGCUUUCUUCCGAUCCCGUGUGUUGUCUAAGAAUGAGGAAAAAGGAAUAGGGAGAGGCGCUUUAAGUUAGUACCUGUAUCGCGGCCCUGAUAUUGACGUUCGUGUGUUCGUGUGUCGUGUCUAGUGUCUGCGCCUGUGUGCUGUGCCGGCGUGAGGGAGGAGGUCACGGUGCUGGCGUGUCAAGAUGCUAAGUGUGUCGCUUUCAGGGAAGUGAAGGAGAGACUAAGAUAAGAAAAAGUGUUGUGCUGAGGGUUCCCGUUAAAAAGAUGGGCGUGUGAUGCGUGGGGGAGGAGAUGAGAUGAUUCACCUCCACCCACGUCCUCCCAUCCACGCCUCCUCCAGGAUCUUGGUCCUUAAAGAGACUGAAGUGUGUGCGCCGAGGCGGUGGUGUGGCGAGCGGCGAUGCGGCACUGUUGGUGAGGCCGUGUUGUGAGGCCCUUUGGUGAGGCAAGGCGAGGGGUGACUCUCCCCCGCCGCCUGCCGCCCCCCGCCUUCAUCAUGUUGUCACUCAUUAACGCGUCCCUGGACGGAGAGUUAGCGAAGCCUAGUGAGUCAGCCGCCCCCAGCGAGAACACCACCACCAUCACCACCACCCCACCUCCCUUCCCCACCCCCGCGGUCUCCUCCCCUACCGGUGGGGCUCCCCGCCUUAAACGCCCCACCUUCCUACCAAUCAAGAACCAUGCCCGCCCUGCUCUCACUUCCUAUGACAAGCAAUCUCCCGUCGGAUCUGGCAAGGGAUUGGAGGAGAGAUCGCAUGUGUCCCUCCCCCUUGGUAGGAGCGCCACUCAGAGAACACCCUCAUGCUCGUCCCUCGGCAGCCUACCCAAUAGCAUGUACCAGCUACCUGCAGUGACGACGCCUACGGUGCCGACUUCAAGUGCCGGCACCGUGGCUGGCGUCACUGUGGUGACGUCGGCAAUCACUUCCACUGGCGCCACCACCACCACCACCUCCGCCGUCACCACCACCACACCGCGGGGUCCCACAGCUGCUAGUGAUGUCCUGGUCUCCCGCAGGAACAAGGCUCUCUAUGGGGAGGAGGGCGAGCGGCUGGUGCGGCGAGUGUCGUACCUCAAGGCGACGUCCGGGGACCGCAUGUACUCCGACUCCGACCUUGACUCCGACACCGACGACAGGAGCGGUGGGCGUGUAGGCGUGGUGGGCGUGCCAGUGGAGGGUGACGUGGACAGCGCCCCGCCCAACACGCCUGCGGACCGCCUGUGUUUGGACCACCCGCCCUCGCCCGAGUGCUUCCUCUCCUCCGUGGACCGACAGGGCACACUGCACGUCAAAGUGACCAUGGUGGACGGCAAGAGGGCCGGCGACCGCUCCUGGAAGACUCUGUGGGUGGCGAUACAAGGGCGCGCCAUCAUCUUCUACAAGGACAGACAACACGCCAUGCAGACACCCUUGGGAGUUGAGGAACAGAUAUCCCUCCGUGGUGCCCAUGUGGAGGUCGCCACUGACUACACCAAACGGCGAAAUGUCUUGCGUCUUGCAACCCCGGGGGGCUCCCAGCUCCUCCUGCAGGCAGACACCUCCCCAGAGAUGCUGGCAUGGCUCUCCACCCUCCACAACAACUGUGCCAUACAGGAAGGUGAAGGUGAAAGCAAGGCCCCCAUGAACAACAACAUCUCACCCCAGACUGGCAACAAGGCGAUGAGGAAGCUGACAUCUCUGAGGACGCGGUCACCCACUGGUCAGUCUCCAUCCAUCAAGACACGCAAGCCUGGUGGUGUAGAGAGCAAUACUUCACCCAAAUCAAAAAAUUGGAGAGGUCAUCUCAAAAGACCUUUCAUGAAGAAAGUACAAAGUGGUUCUCCAGCAGCCACUCCCACCCUCCCAGAAGGAGCCACCAUUGGGGUCUGUUUGGAGGACUGCCCACAGUCACUUGAGAAUGAGUUUGUUCCCCUGCUGGUGGCUCUGUGUGUGGGUGUGGUGGAGAGCCGAGGGCUGCAGACACAGGGAAUCUAUCGUAUCCCCGGCAACAAGGCAUCAGUCACGUACUUAACUGAGAUGAUCAAUAAAGAUGCGAAAUCAAUUGAUUAUGAUGAUGCAAGGUGGUGUGACGUCAAUGUUAUAUCCAGCAUGCUGAAGCAGUUCUUCCAGAAAUUGCCUGAUCCUCUGUUUACUAGUGAGCUCUACCCACACUUCAUUGAGGCGAGUAAAGUAGAGGAUCCAAAGCAGAGGAUGCUGGAAUUGAAAAAAUUGAUUCAUGAAUUACCAGACCACCAUUACGAGACACUUCGGUUCCUCUUAGUGCAUUUGAACAACAUCGUUACCAACUCUGAUUUCAACAAGAUGGACGUGCGCAAUCUAGCCAUAGUCUUUGGCCCAACCUUGGUUCGCUCUGGCGAUGACAACAUGGUCACGAUGGUCACAGACAUGUCCCACCAGUGUCGCAUUGUGGAGACUCUUAUCAGCCAUUCUGCGUGGUUCUUCUCGGAGGAUGAGGGAGAACAGUUUUCACCACCUGUUGUUGAACCUCCACUGACUCCAAGUCCUGCUGCUGAUGGCCUCCCACUGCCUACUGAGAUGGACACGCCCUCCAGUCACUCGCUCCUGCUUGACAACAUCCAGAAAGUUGAAGGCAACAUUAAGGGUGAUAUGAAGAAGGACAUUGUUUCUUCUAUCAUAUCAGCAGCUAACAGAAAGGUUCACAAAGCCAAGCACAAGAAGCCCAUGGAGGACAAGCCCGUGGAUGAAUCCAAGUUCAGUGACCGAGAUGGAGGGUUUGAGGAGCGGGACAUUGACAAAGAGGCUGAGCUCAGGAAACAGCGGCUGAUAGCCAAACAGAUGGAAAGUAUGGUGGAACUCCCUGACCCCAAGCCGAUGAGUGAACGCAAGAUUUCAAACAUGAGUCUUAUGAGUGUUCAGAGUCAUAUGUCUGGUGAAUCUAAUGAGUCACACGGUGAAAGGACUAGUGGCGGUAGUUACAAGUUAGGGCUGCCUGGAGAUGAUCCCAGAUUAUAUUCCGUCGCAAAAAAGGAUGAACUCGUGUCCUCUCCUAUUCCAUUGACAUUGCUUUCCAAUUCUUCCUCCAUGGCUGCUAGUGCCCCCAGCCAACAGUCUAGUCAGUUUACUCCCGAAACCUCUUCACUCUUUGGAGAUGAAGUAGCCAUUCGUUCCUACGCUGGCCUCAGUGCGAGUACGCAGGAGCGAAUACGGAAAUUUGAAAUGGAGACUCGCGCAAUGCUCCACCGUGACCUGACCAGACACCGGCGGGAGACUGAGAGAAGAGAUGCAGAGCGGCAGAGGAUAGAGGAGGAGCUGCAGCGUGCCAAGCAGGACAUGGAAUCAGAGGACCUUUUGGACCAGCUUGCUGACAAUCCCUCAGAGGUUGUCCGCAAGAUCUCUGACUACUCAUGGCGACUCCAAGACUUGAGUGAGAAUGUGGGUGGCCAGCGAGGGUCACUUGUCUCCCAGGGCUCCACCACUAGCUCCCAGGCUGCCCUCAUCUCUGCAGCCCUCUCUCACCAUCCCCUCUCUAACACCUCAUUUACACCCACCACUAAUGCCACCACCCAGGUACCUAACAAUCACUUACAUCCACCUACUAUUAAGAUUGUCAAUGAGCCUGUGGUUGGGAAGGCUACUGAUUCGAAUGAGUACAGGCAUGGCAUGUUGCAGCAGAACUCACUUGCUUGGCUUGACUACAAUACAGCUUCACCACAUAGCACUCUUGGGUCUACCUCUUCAUCCAGUAGCUCAGGUUAUGGCAGCUUAACCCGGCCAUCACACACAACUAACCGAGGUGAGACCGAGGACACUUCUGCAAGAUCUGUUGAUGAAGCCUUCUCCUUGGAGCCCUCUGUUGCUCUUCCCAAAUCUGGCUCUACUUCUCAACACUCUUCCCCCUCCAACACUAAAAAGAAAAAGUCAAGUAAAGGCCCUGGUUUCUUCUUCAAUUUAACCUCUUCAUCUUCAUCACCCUCCCUCUUUCCCUCCAUGUCUGACGCUGCCACUGAACUAACGCCAACGCGCAAAAUUGGCCAAACCACUAUUUAUCCCGAGAGUCCCCGUCCACCCCCUCACAAGUCUCACACACCCUCACCGUCCCACCUUACAGUUCCUGCAUCAACACUAACUCCUCAACCUAACACUCCUGUCCAAGGCCGACACAAAGACUCAAUCCUCCACCACAUCCUACCCAGCCGCCUAUACCACUCCCCUCGUCCCCUGCGUCGAGGGUCCUCUGCUGAGAACGUGACUCAGCCGCUCAUCAACCCUACCUCCCCUUCCACCUUUGACACCCAGAAGGUCGUGAAUAAUGGCACUCUGAAGAGGGCCAGAACCAGCAGGGAACAGAUUUUAAAUGGUCCCGAACAAAUGCCAAGAUGUGGCUCGUUAGAUUCUCUCCGUGACGGCCCUCAUGUUCCCCACGAUGAUGCCCCAUGCGAACUUUCAACUGUAGUGGUAGAAAAGCCACCACAUGUUGCCAAGUCCUCGAUUAUGGGGGCAGCCAAGGGUCUCUUCGCUAAUAUUCAGUAUGCUAAAGUGUAGGCGAGGAAGGCAGUGAUCUGUUGAGUGCCAUCACUGCCACCUUCGAAGAGAAAAUGCGUAGCCUCCAGGAGUCUCCCUUGGGUCUUGUCAAUUCAGAUAGCAGCGAUUCCAACAGCAGUCAAGAUUCCUCACCCGAAGACGUGCGUCAGCUUCCAGAGCAGCCAGGCAGAGGGAACUCCGGGUGCCGCCUGUACCGCGACCCUUCCCUCCAUCGCCGCCGCACCAGCCCCCGCACCUCAGUCACCACCCCUGCUGCCUCCACCGCCUCAUCUCACAUCUCCCAAGUAGAAGAUAGCAUUCAAUCAAGUAGCAUAAAGGAGAGUGACUAUAAGGUACUGACUGAAGAUAAGAAACCUGGAGUGAAAGUAAAGAGAACAGAUUCCUUGACAAAGUCAGAAAAGACUGAAAAUAAUUUGAAAGAAAAAACUGAGAAAAGAUCUCGAGAACUUAAGCGAACAGAUACUCAGGAAAGUCUUAAUGAAAAGAGACCAAAAGAAAUGAAACGAUCAGACCUUCUGGAGGGGAGAGACAGGCUUCAGGAGGCAUCUAAGAAGUCAGAUGCAAAAGAAAAUGCAUCAGGACCCACAAGGCGUUCCUCAGACCUCAGAAGUCGACGCCACAAUGUGAAGGAACUGAAAGAAAAAUUUGAGCAGAACACUGGCAGUCAGACAAACACCAGUCCCAUGAAGCCUUCCAAUAAUCUUUACAGCAAUAGCAGCAGCAGCAGCAGCAACAAAGGGAGCAAGUCAGGCAUGAAACGCACUAACUACCGUGGCCCCAUCAAGCGGCGGCACACUGUGGGGGGCACCAAGGACCUCGCCAAGUGGGCGUGGAUACACAGUGUGGAGAUGUCCAAGAAUGCACUCCGGGCCACCCGACCCACUGCCUGGGAGCGACUGCAGCCUCUGGUGGUGGAUGAGCGACUCAACACGGACAGGUCUCUCGAGGCCUGGCUGACCCACGAGCGUAUCAGGACGUCCUCGCCAGACCUGUCCAGACCACAACAGUUGGUGUUGCCGUGUAUCAUUGGGGACAAGGAGAACCUCCACCGACGCCUCAGUGUACAGGAAGCAGCAUUGAAUCCUCUCUACCCUGUACUGGAGAGUCAUGUUUAAUGGUGUUUGAAGCCAGUGCAUUUCCUUUUCUUUGGCUCAACUUGACCCACUGCACGAGUGACUCACUCAGACUGCUUACGUGUACAAUGAUGAGUGUUGGAAUGAUGAGAGGGGUAAUGAACAGUGCUGUGAUUAUUUGUAUUAGAUAUUGUUUUAAAAAGCAUAUCACUGUAAAUAUAAAUACAUAUAUAUAUAAAUAUAUUGAAAUAUCAUGAGCACAUUAUGUACAGGAUAAACAUUUUUAACUCACCCUGUAAAUAGAAAUUUUAUAGGUUAUACAUAUGUCAUUGCAUUUCAUUUGUAUAAUAUUCAAAUAUGAAUAUAUUGCAUAACUGUAACAGUUUUUUUUAGCUUGGGGGUUAUGCCAUGCCAGUCUUGCAAAGCAAGAAUUACAUGUUGCAUGGUUAGGGAAAUGAAACAUGUAUGAUGUGAACACUUGCAGCAAACGUUUCUUGAAGAGGCAGUAAAGUGAGCAAGGCAUUUCAAGAUGAGUGAGCUGUUUGUGAAAAUGUUGCAUGUUUGACUCUGAAAAUGAAGAGAUACACUUUCAUCCAAUGUUAUAUAGGAUAAUUGGAAUAGAUUGAGACAACUUAAUAGUUUGAGUCAAAAAAGAAUAAUUUCUAAUAACACAGGUAGGUUGCCAGCUACAGUACAUUAAAGCUAAGACCAUAAGAAUAGAUUACAAUUGUUUAAUAUUGAAGCCUUUUAACAUUUAUUUCAGCUGAAUAAAUAAUGUUCAUGGUU